GCACACCGGACACGUUCCACGUUUAACAAACUCGCUCUGUGAGAGCACUGCCCUGCUGAGCUUUGAACUACAAACAGAAGCAAGGGUUUAUUUACCAAAGCGCCGCUGCUCCCAUUAUGGUACAGUGAACUAUGGGGAAGGAAGACCGUGUUCUGUGAUGAGCUGGCUCCCAUGUGACUGAGUGGAAGACUUCCUGCUGUCCUUGUCCGAACUACGAUUUCAUACACAUGAGGCCCGAUACACAGCACUUCCGGAGACGCAGGAGGAUGCAGAUGCUGUUGAUGUGGUCUUCCCUACACCGAUGAAGCCGAGCAGUGACCUCCAUCGAGAACGCAGCGCGAGCUUGACCUUCCAAUCGUCAGGGUCUCUGCUAUUUUCUUCAGCUCUGCCUUACACCGUGUAUUUGGCCCAAUGUGUUGGGACUCUCAGCUGGUACAAACAAAACAAUCAACACAGCCUUCCCACUGCAAGCCCAUACGUUCUUGGCAGACAACGUAGGGCAGAUCAGACUGAGGUGACCUGAGAAAUCGACCCGUGGUUGGCACGCUCUCAAAUACUUGCACUAACGGCACUUUGUGCAUUACUGUGAUAUUCUGGUGCUGCUGCAACUUAUUUUCUGCUACUUAUCUAUUUAAUACUGUUUUUCUAUAUUACUGUCUUGUUUUU